CAGCCGCCACGGGAAUACAGAGGGUGCAAGCGUUAAUCGGAAUUACUGGGCGUAAAGCGCGCGUAGGUGGUUCGCCAAGUUGGAUGUGAAAUCCCCGGGCUCAACCUGGGAACUGCAUCCAAAACUGGCGAGCUAGAGUAUGGUAGAGGGUGGUGGAAUUUCCUGUGUAGCGGUGAAAUGCGUAGAUAUAGGAAGGAACAUCAGUGGCGAAGGCGACCACCUGGACUGAUACUGACACUGAGGUGCGAAAGCGUGGGGAGCAAACAGGAUUAGAUACCCCUGUAGUCCCUGUCUCUUAUAC
rnacentral:rRNA from 1 species